rnacentral:rRNA from 1 species
AUUGAACGCUGGCGGCAGGCCUAACACCUGCAAGUCGAGCGAGCGGCGGACGGGUGAGUACUGUCUGGGAAACUGCCUGAUGGAGGGGGAUAACUACUGGAACCGGUAGCUAAUACCGCAUCCCAUCAGAUGUGCCCAGAUGGGAUUAGCUAGUAGGUGGGGUAACGGCUCACCUAGGCGACGAGCCCUAGCUGGUCUGAGAGGAUGACCAGCCACACUGGAACUGAGAAACGAUCCAGACUCCUACGGGAGGCAGCAGUGGGGAAUUUUGGACAAUGGGGGAAACCCUGAUCCAGCCAUCCCGCGUGUGCGAUGAAGGCCUUCGGGUUGUAAAGCACUUUUGGCAGGAAAGCGGUACCUGCAGAAUAAGCACCGGCUAACUACGUGCCAGCAGCCGCGGUAAUUC